CUGAGACUCGUGAAAGAAGAGCAGAAGACCCUGGAGGCAAAUAUUUCACCUAACAAAUAUAUUGUUGCUGCAACAAGGAGGUUGGCAUUCUGACCUGCUGGCUAUAAGAUGGGGAACGAGGACUUGUGACCAACUGGGAGAGUGGUGAUGUAAUGUACUAGAGGAUUAGGACACAAAGACCUGAUGAAUGAAUCAUAAAUGGGAUGAUUCUGAUGGCGAUGCCGCUAGAUCGGACUCGGCGCAAGUACGCAUGUUGCGAGUCGUGUAAGACAGUCAUCCGCCUUGCAUCAUUACGGUAUCAUUGUAACCUUACUUUUACACACCAUUCGACAUUCUUUCCAGUUCCCUCCCAACGCACACACACAACAGCUCAAUCGAGCCACAAGCCUAAUCCUUCAUCAUCCUCCACUCUUCCACUUCCAAACGAUUCUUCACCAUCACCAGCUCCCGAUCCUCAUCAUCACGCGGUAAAUUGUUUUUUUGUACUGAGAGG
rnacentral:lncRNA from 1 species